CUUAAAUUGAUAAGAAAUGAAGUCACCAAUAUUUUUCUUUACGCUCCUGCUUCUUGCAAGUCAUUCAAUCUCUGCUACCGAGAGAGGAAGGCUCGAAUACUUCAAUAAAAUCAUCUGCAGCCAUUGUUGGGUUCGUUUGUACAGAUUUUGCAAUGUUGGAGUCCGGCUUUCAAAACGAAGUGUAAUCGCAGAAAGUCAAGCUAUAGUGCCACAGAUUCUUCAGGUGCAAAGGUCAAUGAUCAGUCAAGCGGAAUCAAUGACGUCAUUGGAAAACCGACCACGCCCUCUGUUGGAGAGAAGACAAGGAAACGUUAGACAUGUCAGAAUAAGAAUCAAGAACUGUAACUUUUGUAGAGAUCGGUGUUAUAGAUAGUGAUUAUAACAUGACCGCAUGUAAUAAUCAAUUAAAUAAUUUGUUUAAAUUGAGUUUUUUUUAUUUCAAAUUUAAUCAAACGUAGAUUAUUUGUUUGUUCUUGUUUAAAUGGGUAGAUUACUUUGAUCAAUGCUACUUUUAUGAUAUUUCUAUGAUUGCAAAUUAAAAAAAUUACACUUUUACCACCUCUCUGGUUUAAAGUGAUGUUGAGUUUGGCUUAGCGUGCCCCAGAUUUACCAAUAAUCUUAAAAAUCUUGAAAAAAAUUUAAAAUUUCAAAAUUCAACUAAACGUAGAUUGUUUUGUUUGUCCUUGUUUGAAUAUUUGCUAGAACUCUUUAAUUUAUUUUAAUUUUAUGAUAUAUUAUUUAUUCUACUAUCGCAAAUGAUAAAAAUUGCACUCUUAUUACUGCUCUGAUUCAAUGUUAUGUUCAGAUUUAUUUGGCUUGCCCCAGUUCUGACAAUAAACUUUCUUUGAAUUAAAUUGAACAGUAGGACAGUUUCAUUAUUCAUAGUUCUAGUAAUAAUAAACAUAUAUGCCAUA